UACGGGGGGGGCAAGCGUUGUUCGGAAUUACUGGGCGUGAAGGGCUCGUAGGCGGCCAACUAAGUCAAACGUGAAAUCCCUCGGCUUAACCGGGGAACUGCGCUUGAUACUGGAUGGCUUGAGAUUGGGAGAGGGAUGCGGAAUUCCAGGUGUAGCGGUGAAAUGCGUAGAUAUCUGGAGGAACACCGGUGGCGAAGGCGGCAUCCUGGACCAACACUGACGCUGAGGAGCGAAAGCCAGGGGAGCAAACGGG
rnacentral:rRNA from 1 species